rnacentral:rRNA from 1 species
UACGGGGGGGGCAAGCGUUGUUCGGAAUUACUGGGCGUAAAGGGCGCGUAGGCGGCCUUCUAAGUCGGACGUGAAAUCCCUCGGCUCAACCGGGGAACUGCGUCCGAUACUGGAGGGCUUGAAUCCGGGAGAGGGAUGUGGAAUUCCAGGUGUAGCGGUGAAAUGCGUAGAUAUCUGGAGGAACACCGGUGGCGAAGGCGACAUCCUGGACCGGUAUUGACGCUGAGGCGCGAAAGCCAGGGGAGCAAACGGG